rfam:Trachymyrmex cornetzi contig31189, whole genome shotgun sequence.
CAAUCGGCCCUUUUUAGGGCCAACCAUACACUUUGUAUGUACGACU